UACGUAGGGUGCAAGCGUUAAUCGGAAUUACUGGGCGUAAAGCGUGCGCAGGCGGUUUUGUAAGUCUGUCGUGAAAUCCCCGGGCUUUAACCUGGGAAUGGCGAUGGAGACUGCAAGGCUAGAGUUUGGCAGAGGGGGGGUAGAAUUCCACGUGUAGCAGUGAAAUGCGUAGAGAUGUGGAGGAACACCGAUGGCGAAGGCAGCCCCCCUGGGUCAAAAACUGACGCUCAUGCACGAAAGCGUGGGGAGCAAACAGG
rnacentral:rRNA from 1 species